rnacentral:rRNA from 1 species
GAGCGAGCAGAACCAGCAGAUUUACUUCGGUAAUGAUGCUGGGGACGCGAGCGGCGGAUGGGUGAGUAACACGUGGGGAACCUGCCCCAUAGUCUGGGAUACCACUUGGAAACAGGUGCUAAUACCGGGUAAGAAAGCAGAUCGCAUGAUCAGCUUAUAAAAGACGGCGUAAGCUGUCGCUAUGGGAUGGCCCCGCGGUGCAUUAGCUAGUUGGCAAGGUAACGGCUUACCAAGGCAAUGAUGCAUAGCCGAGUUGAGAGACUGAUCGGCCACAUUGGGACUGAGACACGGCCCAAACUCCUACGGGAGGCAGCAGUAGGGAAUCUUCCACAAUGGACGCAAGUCUGAUGGAGCAACGCCGCGUGAGUGAAGAAGGUUUUCGGAUCGUAAAGCUCUGUUGUUGGUGAAGAAGGAUAGAGGUAGUAACUGGCCUUUAUUUGACGGUAAUCAACCAGAAAGUCACGGCUAACUACGUGCCAGCAGCCGCGGUAAUACGUAGGUGGCAAGCGUUGUCCGGAUUUAUUGGGCGUAAAGCGAGCGCAGGCGGAAGAAUAAGUCUGAUGUGAAAGCCCUCGGCUUAACCGAGGAACUGCAUCGGAAA